AUGGUCAUAUCACGACACACCAGUUUCCAUAUGAUCUCCAAAGUUAAGCAAUGUUGAACUUGGUCAGUACCUAGAUAGAUGACUGCUUGGGAAUACCAGGUGCUGUAAG